rnacentral:lncRNA from 1 species
AGGAAGGUGAAGUGGAGUGGGCUGGAAUAUUCAUGGCGAGGUAGGAGUUCGAACUUGGAGGGUGAGUGUGAUUAAACAGGCAUAGAGUGCAGAUUGCACAGAGAUGAUUUUUUUCUUGUUUUUGGGCUACAGAAAGAGCUCUGAACCUGGAAAAAAGAAGAAAGACUUGCAGCAACAUAAUCAGACCUCUCUUCUAUCCAUUCCCCUCUGCAGUGUGAGGAGUGACAGCCGCUCCUCAGGAAAGUCGUUUAAAAAACAAAGAAAAGAACAAAUCGUUCUGGCAUCCUCCUCAGCACUGCCGGGACCUCCUACGAGCAAAAAAUCCCAUCGCUGUGUCUUCUGGGUGUCUUCGGAGCACUGAUCUUUCUUCAAAGAAUAAAGAAGUCGAAUUUUCCACUAGGAGGGUUCUUCUUUCUCUUUCAUGCAUAUUAUAAAUGGGUGCUACAUGCAUGUGCAGUGAAAUCCACAUGAGUGAUAUUGUUCUCAAAACAGGUCUGAGGCCCGUCCAGUCAAAUAAUAGUACUUGUGGCACACAAGCCAUUCUACAGUAUAUGCUGCUGUUACAAAUUUGGGGAGGUACAAAAUCAGGAUUUUUACCAAGCGGUUUAGUCAAUAAGUAAAAUAAUUAUUCAUAACCUCCUACUUGUAAGUGAUUUCUCCAGAAUAUAACCGAGCGGUUGGUAUAAUUAGAGGCACGUGACUUCUUUGUUCUCUGGCACAGCUUUGUUGAGAGGAGUAAUAAGUCAGGCACACUUGGUUAAACAAAUAUUUAUCACAAUUUCAUAACACAAACUAAACUACACACAACACUGCUAACUGGCCCAUGUUUCUAUGACCUGGGCCUCAUGUCCCACACUGCUUAAGGGGCAAGGUUUUUAAGAACACUGUGUGUAUCUGCUAGCAAUUGUUCUGGAACUGGUGACACGCUUUAUUUUUUUAAGUUAUGUCAACCCCCCGAAUUAACAUUUCACCGAAUGGCAUUUGUUUCACACCACUUAACAAUGCAAAACAGCAGACAUUUUUAAUAUUGAUCACGUCUUAAUAUUAUUGCUGAUAGUAAAUAUCAUUUUAUCUCAUAAAAUUCACAACACUAAAAUGAUUAUUUUCAGUACCAUGUCUAACUAAAGUAUAUGUUAUGAUCUCAGUGCAUUAAAUUAUUGAUUAAUAUUGUGUUAUUUGUAUUAAUUGUCCAUUUCUGUUCUUUAUUGUGAAGGCAAAUAGUGUGCAUAUUUUAUCCCUGGCUGGAUUUGAUUACUGUUUCCUAGGCACUUUCUGGUCCUGAGCUACACGGCGCCUUCAUACUGUAAGCAGCAGUGACUUCUGCCAACUGUUCAAGGCUACUGAGGUUCACUGUAAUGGAAUCAGGGAAUGAACAAGCCCUGUUAUAUACUGUAUGUAUACCAACAAAAAGUCUUUAAAGACAAGGAACAUUGUUAUCAGAAAGAUUUUGCUGUCUGGUGUUCUGCCUUUUUUUUUGUUUAGUCCUUUGCAUCAGGACAGGAAACAUAGUGCAGCACCUCUGGAGGUUUCCUGUGGUGGGAUAGUAUAUAUUUAUUUUCUUUUUCAUUCCAUUUGUCUUUCAGACUUCAAAAGCACAACCAAAACUGGAAGCUUCAGGCGUUCUCCCUGGGAUUGAAGGACAGUGUGCUUCAGAGCUCUUUGCUUCUAUUAUCAGCUUUGUAUCUUGACGGUAGGUCCCCAGCUGGGACCAAAAAUGGCCAUUGACUGAUGGUACAAGCUGGAAGCAAGUGUCAGUGUGGCAUUUCCAAAAGAGGCCUCUCUUCGCAGUAACACCAACUGUGGAGAUCAUCGCCGUUUUUUUCCCCCCUAUCAGAACAAAAGACUGUUUCUAGCGAGAAAAGUUUGCACUGAUCAAAGACUCACCUUUCUUGAUGAAGCAGUCCCUCCACUGUCAUCUCCAAAAAAUGUGAAGCUAGUAGCAUUGUAAUAUUUAAAAUUAUCGGGAGGUGAUGCAUGAAAGGAUUAGUCAGGACAUGAGGGGGAAGUCCAAUUCCCUUAAAAUAUGUCAGCUAUUUUUAUUUUGUUCGCAUACCAUACAUUCUUCACUGAAAAGGUGCGUGUGAUUGCAAGGAACCCGCUGGAAGGUCUGUCGGGGGAAAAUAAUUGCUCUGACAUCCUGUGAUCACAGAACACCCUACUCUGUUUUAUCACUCGUUCAGGAGAUACAGACCAACCCUAAUGUUAUUUUGGAAAGCUUGACUGUGUGUCACGACAGUUUACAAUCAGAAUCCAAGCCUAUGCAACUCCUGCAAACGACCCCACAUUGUUCCUAAUCAGACUCCAGUCUUAUCCCAUUCCUGCAAACGCUGUCGCAUUAACUAAUCAACCAAUCAGAGCUUUCCUUCAUCACUGCAUCCGCUACAUACCGGAAUACUUAAGCCCUCACCACCUUCACCUCAAGGCUCAGAAUUGGUUUUCACCACGUGGAGCUCCUCGUCUCUGUUUCGAGAUUUCCUCGCUUAUUACUUGGCUUCUGAACCUUUGGUUUCCUGAUCAGCGAAUCUGUCUUUGACCACGACUCUUGAACCGCGAUUUGGAUAAGCACACUUAGAUUUUCCUUUGAACUCCCCUUGCUUUCAUUGAGAUCCAUUAGUCACCACAUUGGCUCCUAUAAUUCAUCUGGUUUAACACACUGUACUUGGUCUGCAGGAGCACCGCAAGGUUGAGGAAGCUAGACCCCACUGCCUGCUCUGAUCAAAUGAAGAAUUUGCUUCAUUGCUGGAGCUGGCCUUGGGGCAUUGUGAGAACAAGUGGUCUAGAGUCCUGUAAUCAUACCCUAGAGUCGGGGGUCGACAGGGAAUGAGACCUGUCAUUAUACUGUAACAUAAGAACAUGAGAAAGAUUAGAAAUGAGAAAACAGGGCAUUGAUCCAUCUGGCUCAUUUGGUAGAUAGUAGUUAAUUGAUCCAAGGAUCUCACCCAGUCAUUUUUUGAAAGAAGCCAGGGUAUUGGCUUCAACAACAUGGGUAGCUUGUUCCACACUCCCACAGCUCUUUGUGUAGAGAAGUGUCUCUGGUUCUUGGUUUUAAACACCCUCUGGCUUGUGUUUCAUUCUGAUAUCCUCCCCAUCUUCUGAAAUGAGUAAUCCUUUCUCGCUUUUUAUGCAGAACCACUAACUUUUAUCCUUUUUCAUGUUUGACUAUCUAGUGUUUACAAUUUUUCUUAUAGGCUCUGGAGAACUUGUAGCUGGGUUCAAAGUCUUGCAUUUGUCUGCACAGUAGGUGCACUCUUGGGUUCCAGCGGUGACCUUUAGGUGGUCUCUAGCUGGAAUCUUCAGGCAGCUUUUGGCUCGGCUUGUCAUUCUCUUUCUGGAUAUGAAAGAUCUCCUGUACCCUCUUUCUAUUUUACAGAAAUCACAUUCCUAAAGCCUGUCGCAUAGAACACUCACUUUCAUUCUAAACCAAGAUGUACCCCAAAGAUGCUGAAUCUUUAAAAUGGUAACACUGACCAGACAUAGUCUUCUGCAGAGAGUAUCCCUAAGGGACUACACACUUUUCACAAUAGUUUCUGCUUUAGUCCUCCUCAUAAGAUCCAUUAUUUAACUGAACUACUGAAUUUCUUUCAGGAGGAGAAGCUGAGAAAUUAGCUGCAAAAACUGACCCUGUGAUUGAUACCGUAAUUAGGGUCUCACUCCAUGUUAAGGCACUUUCACAUUUAAUGUAACCCGUGUAUAUUGCAGGUAGGAUCUAAAUUCAAUUUGUCAAUUUUGUGAGAGUUAUAGUCUUUUCCCACAAGAACAGAUGGGAUUUCCUGUCCCAAGCAGCCCUGUCUCACCACAGUGGAACAGUUUAACUGCUUCAAAGAUCAUUUCUCACUUCUGGUAUGUGGGUGACAGGAUUAAAGUACUUGUGUGCUUGCCAGGAAAUUCAAAGAUUCAUUUGAUGUCACACUUUUGAGAAUUCAUUCAAUCUUGAUGUAUCUAUGAGGGGGUCAGUUUUAUGUUGAAUUAGUAAGCUAUUGGUCACUGAAAUCAGAUUAUUACCGGGUCUUUCAGAAUGCACAGAAUCAACCUGCAGGCUCUGUCUUGUGCAUAGAAAAAAACAAUAUAACGUAUUAUAACAUCAACAA